rnacentral:misc_RNA from 1 species
UAGGAUUCAUAAUUUCUUGGAAAGAACAAAGAAUUUCCAAAGGAAGAAGACAAUCACUGAUGCUCAACAGAGUCUGGGAAGGGAGAAGGAGAUACUCAGAAAACGUGUUAAUAAUUUGAUUAGAAGGAAAAGGCUUAUUGAGGUAGCUGUUGAAAAAUGAAGAAAUGAAACAUUGGGGUCGAGAUACACAGGCUAAGCUGGGAAGUCGCCUGGUGGAACUGUUAACUGAAACAGCUUUUGUGCAACCCCCCGUCAACCAGUCAGCAGAUAUUCCACCUGAUGUUCGACCUGCUUUUAGGCACAGAUUUAGAACUAUAACAAAUAAUCCAGGGCAUAA